GACUGAGACACGGCCCAAACUCCUACGGGAGGCAGCAGUAGGGAAUCUUCCACAAUGGACGAAAGUCUGAUGGAGCAACGCCGCGUGAGUGAAGAAGGGUUUCGGCUCGUAAAACUCUGUUGUUAAAGAAGAACAUAUCUGAGAGUAACUGUUCAGGUAUUGACGGUAUUUAACCAGAAAGCCACGGCUAACUACGUGCCAGCAGCCGCGGUAAUACGUAGGUGGCAAGCGUUGUCCGGAUUUAUUGGGCGUAAAGCGAGCGCAGGCGGUUUUUUAAGUCUGAUGUGAAAGCCUUCGGCUCAACCGAAGAAGUGCAUCGGAAACUGGGAAACUUGAGUGCAGAAGAGGACAGUGGAACUCCAUGUGUAGCGGUGAAAUGCGUAGAUAUAUGGAAGAACACCAGUGGCGAAGGCGGCUGUCUGGUCUGUAACUGACGCUGAGGCUCGAAAGUAUGGGUAGCAAACAGGAUUAGAUACCCUGGGUAGUCCAUACCGUAAACGAUGAAUGCUAAGUGUUGGAGGGUUUCCGCCCUUCAGUGCUGCAGCUAACGCAUUAAGCAUUCCGCCUGGGGAGUACGGCCGCAAGGCUGAAACUCAAAGGAAUUGACGGGGGCCCGCACAAGCGGUGGAGCAUGUGGUUUAAUUUGAAGCUACGCGAAGAACCUUACCAGGUCUUGACCUUCUAUGCAAAUUUAAGAGAUUAGACGUUCCCUUUGGGGACAUGGAUACAGGUGGUGCAUGGUUGUUGUCAGCUCGUGUCGUGAGAUGUUGGGUUAAGUCCCGCAACGAGCGCAACCCUUAUUAUCAGUUGCCAGCCUUAAGUUGGGCCCUUUGGUGAGACUGCCGGUGACAAACCGGAGGAAGGUGGGGAUGACGUCAAAUCAUCAUGCCCCUUAUGGCCUGGGCUACACCCGUGGUACAAUGGAUGGUACAACGAGUUGCGAACUCGCGAGAGUAAGGUAAUCUUUUAAAGCCAUUUUCAGUUUGGAUUGUAGGCUGCAACUUGCCUACAUGAAGUUGGAAUCGCUAGUAAUCGCGGAUCAGCCUGCCGCGGUGAAUACGUUCCCGGGCCUUGUACACCCCGCCCGUCACCCCCUGAGAGUUUGUAACACCCAAAGUCGGUGGGGUAACCUUUUAGGAACCAGCCGCCUAAGGUGGGACAGAUGAUUAGGGUGAAGUCGUAACAAGGUAACCAAUCUCUAGAGGUCCCCGGUACCAGCUCGAUUCGAUCUUCU
rnacentral:rRNA from 1 species